AUGGGUGUGCACAGGUGUGCAAGGCACACGCCUAUGCGCAGUCCCAUGCUCACAUACACACAGCACAGGCCGGCCAUGCACACACACACAUUGCACACGUGUACACCUGCUCACACACAGCCCCUUGCACACCCUCCAGGCCCCGCUGCCCUCCUGGCCCCGUGCACGUGCAGCUCUGGCGUGCCCGUGGUGCUGGGUGCCAGGGGCUGGGUCCCAGCGGGUGCUGGGUGGGCUGGCAGGGGACACGCAGCGGGGGGGCAGUGGGAGACACUGCGGGGACACCAUGGGGACACUACAGGGACACGAUGGGGACACCAUGGGGACACCACACACCCUGGCCAUGCCCUGGGCCACGUGUGCAGCUCCCAGCCCCAGUCCCUGGGGCUCUCGCUGUACAACACAGCCACGACCCCAUGGCCCCACCACCCUCUGCAGGUCCCCGGGGGUCCUGUGGGGUCCUGCCUGCAGCCAGCGCCUGCCCCAGGCUCCAGCCCCCGUGAAAGCCCCCGACACCCAUGCCCAGUUCAAUUUUGGGCCCCUCACUACAAGGACAUCGAGGCCCUGGAGCGCAUCCAGAGCCGGGCUGAGGCUGGGGAAGGGGCUGGGACACGAGUCCUGCGAGGGGCGGCUGAGGGAGCUGGGGGGGCCGGGGCUGUAGCAGGGUGUGGGGACCCCCCCCCGCUCCCUGGGGGCUGUGGGGAGCUGGGGCCGGGCUCUGCCCGCAGCAGAGGGAACGGCCUCGAGGGGGGCCCGGCUGGGAGCGGGGAGACAUCGCUGGCACUGCUGGGACACAGCCCGGGGAGCUGCUGGGGUCACCGGCACUGGGGGUGCUCGAGGAGGGGCUGGGCCUGGUGCUUGGGGACACUGCUGGGGGGGGGGACACUGCUGGGGGCCGCUGGGGACAGGCGGCCCCGCGCCCCGUCGAGGCCUGGCAGCCCCGCGGGCCGCUCCCCGCCGCGCUGGCACCAGCGGCCGCCGGCCCCCAUUGGCUGCCCUGCCUUGGGGGGUGGGCCCCCCGCCGCCGAUAACCAAUCAGCGCGCUCCAGCGCCGCUGCGCCGCCACCAUUUUGUUCGCGGGCGCGGGACGUGGCCGCCAUCGUUGUUGAGGGCGGCCAUCUUGCGGGCGGCCCCGGGGCACUGGGGGGGGGGGGGGCGGCCCGAGCCCCCCGCCCCCCCCCGCCCCCCGGGGCCCCAGGGGGGGGGGUCCCCCCUCCCGGAUGUUUUUUAAGCUCCCGGUUUUUUUUUUUUUUUUUUUUUUUCGUUUUUUUUUGGUGUGGGUUUUUUUUGUGUGUGUUUUUUUUUCAAGUUUAA
rnacentral:lncRNA from 1 species